rnacentral:ribozyme from 1 species
CACACAACGAUGCCGGGAAGGUCUGAGGCACGGGCCAAGGCAGCCACGGCUGCGCGCCAGGUGCUGGACGCUUCUGGAGGGAACGUGGAGGCAGCUGCGGAUGAAUUCAG